GGCCCGACGGACGGCAGCAAGCGAGCCGGACGGACGGACGGCGGGCGGGCAGCGGUCAGGUCUUCACUGUCCUGUCGCCCCGUCAGUUUUAAAGUUGAGCUGCAGAGGCGCCCAGUGGCUCCCGAGGUAAAGUGGCCUCUCUACGAGGUGAUGCGCGUGCAAAGCGGCAAAGCCUGUGCGACCCCGCGUCACCACCUGACGUCACCACCCGACGUCACCACCCCGCGGCCUGCAGGCCUUUUGAAAGGGAUUUUGCCUUCAGCUUGGGAGUUCAGGGGGAGAGGGGACCCAAGGCGGGGAACAUUUCAAAAAUCCGUUGAAGCCUGGCGGCCUAUAGGUUUGAUUUCCAGGCCGUUGGAUGGGGCAGGCCCUGUAACUGCGUGGACCACGGAACACCCAUGAGGGAUGCUGGGGCAGGUCUCAAGGAAAACUGGCGUCUUCUACUACUUCCCCCAAACAUCUCUCUGCUCCCCCUCUCCAACAGCCACCUCCCACCCCCAGCUGUGAGAAGCCAGCGAGGAGCACUGUGGCCUCUCGCUCAGCAGCCUCUCGCUCAGCAGCCCGCCUACGGCAGCAUCAGGUGUGUGUGACCCCCUUCCUGUCAUGGUCCAGCCAGCUCACCUGACUCCAGCCCCAGCCAGAAGAGCCUCCAGCCCAGCCCGUCAACUCACAGAAUCAUCUAUCUACCUAACACCCACCAGCCAAUCAGGAGUGAGUAUGCAAAUUAACCCAACAAAGAUGGCGGGUUGAUUUGCAUAUGCAGGUGCCAAGCAGCCAGGGACAGGGCAGGACCCAGGCGUUCAGCACCACCCCAGCCGCUGCGGGCCUCUGGGCAGCGUGGGAAGGCGGAAAGGCUGCUCCGGCCAGAGCAGAGGCGGUGCCGGCAGCCAGGGGAACGAAGGCCCAUUCUUGCACGAAUCUUCAUUCGUGCAUCGGGCCACUAGUCUAUAUAAAAUAGAGAAAUAUGCUAAUUAACCAGGACGCUGCAACAGGUUGCCCGGACAGGAGAAGGUUGCAUGGGAAGCGUCAGGGGCGGGGUGGCAGGGGCCUCCGUGUGCCUGUUCUGGGGGACGGCCUGAUCAGCAGCGGCCACGGCUGCUUCAUGGGCCGGAGAGGGAGGCAGGGCCAGACUGGUGACUUGAGGGUGGGCGGCGCUGUGCGAUUUCGAAUCGCGUGCUGGGCUCCUAGUGAGAUAAUAAAAUGAUUGUGGCCCUCACCGGUAUGGCUCAGUGGCUAGAGCAUUGGCCUGCAGGCUGAAGGGUCCCGGGUUCGAUUCCGGUCAAGGGCAUGUUCCUCGGUUGCCCAAUCAAUGUGUCUCACAUCAAUGUUUCUCUGUCUCUCCUCCCUUCUUCCACUCUCUCUAAAAAUAUCCUCAGGUGAGGAUUAAAUAAUAAUAAUAAUAAAAUGAUUAUUGUUUUAAGCCA